AGGUAGCAUAAUCGUUAGUUUUUUAAUUGAAAUCUUGUAUGAAUGGUUGGACAAAAGAAAGACUGUCUCUAUGAUUUUUAUUGAAUUUAACUUUUAAGUGAAAAGGCUUAAAUUAUUUAAAAAGACGAUAAGACCCUAUAAAGCUUUAUAAUUAAUUAUAUUUAAUUAAAUUAAAAAUAAUUGUUUUAUAUAAAAAAUUAUUUUGUUGGGGAGAUAGUAUUAUAAUUUGAAAUAACUGAAUAUAAAUAAUACAAUUAUUGGUGUGUAAAAAAUAGUAGAUCCUAUAUAUGGAUUAAAAGUUUAAGUUACUUUAGGGAUAACAGCGUUAUUUUUCUUGAGAGCUCAUAUCGAAAGAAAAGAUUGCGACCUCGAUGUUGAAUUAAAAUUUCUAAAUAA
rnacentral:rRNA from 1 species